rnacentral:rRNA from 1 species
UACGUAGGGAGCAAGCGUUAUCCGGAUUUACUGGGUGUAAAGGGCGCGUAGGCGGGAAUGCAAGUCAGAUGUGAAAUCUGGGGGCUCAACCCCCAAGCUGCAUUUGAAACUGUAUUUCUUGAGUGAUGGAGAGGCAAGCGGAAUUCCUAGUGUAGCGGUGAAAUGCGUAGAUAUUAGGAGGAACACCAGUGGCGAAGGCGGCUUGCUGGACAUUAACUGACGCUGAGGCGCGAAAGCGUGGGGAGCAAAC